AUGCUGCGCUCGGCUCGUUCGCUUCGCGCUCGCUCCUCUCGCGAGAAGCCCCUCUUUACAUUUACAUGGCCGGCUCCUCGAGGCCGCUCGCGAGGACAUCGCGCUCAUGAAUUUAUCCCGUGAGUCGUACGGAGAGGGAGGAGGCACGAGAUGAUAGCCGGAUAACGUUGGCGUAUCAUUGGACCAGUUCUUGGAGACGCGAAACGCGACCCGCACGGUGAAUCGAAAUGGCAGGAAUUGUCGGUGUGUUUGCGCUGCUUCUUUUGGGCUGGACUGAUGGUUGUUGCUUAGUUUGUAUAACGGAGGUGGGUGGUUCGAGAAGGUUAAUUGUUUUGGCGAAUUGACUCGUUGAAGUACUGCGUUAAGUGGGUGCAAGUGACAUAUUCUUAUACAUUGUCAGAAACUCUGUUUUGCUGAAAAUAAGCAAGAGACAUUGUAUUUGAGAGUGAAACGACUGAAAGUAUUAGCGUGUAUCUUUUGUUGCUUCUGAGUUGAGCUGAAUUGGUGAUUGUGCAGUGCUGAUGGAUGAUCGAAGGAGGGAUCGUUUCGUGGAACGAGUUUAUGAAGUAUCGCACAGAGUGGGUGGAAGGAUGUAAGUGAUAUCGUUACAUGUUUUAAGAAAUUUUAUUUUGUCUAAAAUAAGGAAGCGUUCAAAUAUUUUUUUAAGUGGUACUAGAAUUGGUUGACGAAUAGGUUGAAUAGAUUGUGAAGAAGAUUAUUUUGGUACUAUUAGAACAUGGAAUAACAGUAACGUUUUCAGAAACAAAUUUAUUAAUGCAAGUAAUUAUUUCUUAUUUGCCUGAGAAAAUUGUAUAUGCAGAACAGAUUACAAUAUAUUAAUGAUAAUUAAAGCAAUUUAAGUGAUACCAAUCAAAAGGUGCAACUGCCGUAAAUCGAAUUGCAAAAGAACGACUUCAACUUCCUACUAACAGCCGUUCGUAUCGAACUCGAUAGUGCGAAAAGUAAAUGUCUGUAAUGUAAUUCAAUUUACCAUGUUCUUAUAAAUGUUCUCAACCUCUUUCCUCUACCAGUAACUUAUAAUAUAGCUGUCAAGAAAUUCCAGCAAUUCUCGAGAAACCAUGUGUACACGUCACAAAUAAAUAAAGCAAGCGAAUCGAACGCUCCUGCAUCGUGAUCGGCCAUUUUUCCCUCGUUGAACGGUCAACCGAACCGUCUGGCCGCUCGUAAAGCCGGUUGAUUUAUUCAACGGAUCAGCGUGGAACAGCGACUAAUUAGCGCGAUUAGCUUGCGCCACACGAUCUUCGUAUUCGUACGCGGUUGAUCGUUUCGCGGUGCAUGAAUGGACGCCUUCGAAUAGUCAGACUAAUACCUGAAACCUGGCCGAUCGAGCAAGUAACGAACGAUCACGUUGAAAGCGAACCUGACGGCGAAUUAACUAUGAGACCAAUUAACGAUGGAAGAAUGAGGAGAGCAAACUAUGGGAGCGAACGGUUUUUUAACGGAGAACGAGGAAGGUGGUUGAAGGAUUCGAAGAUUGGUGGACGACGUUCUGCAGCUUGAAGAUGAAUAAGGGGACUAAUUAACGAAGGAAAACGAACAGAGGUGACUAUGAAAGAUAGGAGGGUGUUGUAUAGAACUGUUUUUCACAGCCAAUAACGAUUGUGAUAUUUCUGUAUUGACAUAUUGUAACACGUGCAAUUACCAUUAUAUUUCUUUUAAUCUUUUCCUUCAACCAGUGACGUAAACAGUUCUCUGAUAUUAUAAGUUAUAGCGUAGAAGAAUACGCAUGAUGUAGGUAUAAUAAGAUUAAAGAGGAUAUCGAACCAGUUCCACCUAACGUCACAAGGACUUAAAAAGAAAAAAAAACAAUGGCCCCUAUGUCCAAAGAUAACACAUAAUUCACACGUAUCAUAAAACACCAUAAACUCCCAAUCUCUUCAAUAUCGUGCAUCAACCUAAAAUUUCCUACCCUGCAAAAAUUGGAAUUCCUAAAAACCGAGUGCCUCGACUCCACUCGUUUCCCAUCAGAAUCGCCAAUAGUACGGUUAAGGAACCAAAGAGACGGUCUCGGAGCUGGCUCGUUUCCCAAACGUCUCAAGCUCGACCCCUUGGGGGCUCCACCCCCGUACGCGCCGCGGAAAGGGGCAUCAUAAAGACCCGACUAAAUUACACGACGCGCCAUCGAGCGCAUUCAAUUAGAGAGGAUACUUU